rnacentral:rRNA from 1 species
AUUGAACGCUGGCGGCAGGCUUAACACAUGCAAGUCGAGCGGAGAUGAGGUGCUUGCACCUUAUCUUAGCGGCGGACGGGUGAGUAAUGCUUAGGAAUCUGCCUAUUAGUGGGGGACAACAUUCCGAAAGGAAUGCUAAUACCGCAUACGUCCUACGGGAGAAAGCAGGGGAUCUUCGGACCUUGCGCUAAUAGAUGAGCCUAAGUCGGAUUAGCUAGUUGGUGGGGUAAAGGCCUACCAAGGCGAGGAUCUGUAGCGGGGCUGAGAGGAUGGUCCGCCACACUGGGACUGGGACACGGCCCAGACUCCGACGGGAGGCAGCAGUGGGGAAUAUUGGACAAUGGGGGGAACCCUGAUCCAGCCAUGCCGCGUGUGUGAAGAAGGCCUUAUGGUUGUAAAGCACUUUAAGCGAGGAGGAGGCUACUGAGACUAAUACUCUUGGAUAGUGGACGUUACUCGCAGAAUAAGCACCGGCUAACUCUGUGCCAGCCGCCGCCGUAAUAC